rnacentral:snRNA from 1 species
GUGCUCCCUUCAGCAGCACAUAUACUAAAAUUGGAAUGAUAGAGAGAAGAUUGCAUGGCCCCUGCAGAGUAUGACAUGCAAAUUCUUGAAGUAUUCCAUAUUUUU